rnacentral:rRNA from 1 species
UGAGGGAUAUUGGGCAAUGGGGGCAACCCUGACCCAGCGACGCCGCGUGAGGGAAGACGGUCUUCGGAUUGUAAACCUCUGUCUUUGGGGACGAAGAGGGACGGUACCCAAGGAGGAAGCUCCGGCUAACUACGUGCCAGCAGCCGCGGUAAUACGUAGGGAGCGAGCGUUGUCCGGAAUUACUGGGUGUAAAGGGAGCGUAGGCGGGAAAACAGUUGGAUGUGAAAACUGUGGGCUUAACCUGCAGACUGCAUUCAAAACUGUUUUCUUGAGUGAAGUAGAGGCAAGCGGAAUUCCUAGUGUAGCGGUGAAAUGCGUAGAUAUUAGGAGGAACACCAGUGGC